UGGGGAAUCUUGCGCAAUGGGCGAAAGCCUGACGCAGCCAUGCCACGUGGAUGAUGAAGGUCUUAGGAUUGUAAAAUCCUUUCACCGGUGAAGAUAAUGACUGUAGCCGGAGAAGAAGCCCCGGCUAACUUCGUGCCAGCAGCCGCGGUAAUACGAAGGGGGCUAGCGUUGCUCGGAUUUACUGGGCGUAAAGGGCGCGUAGGCGGACAUUUAAGUCAGGGGUGAAAUCCCGGGGCUCAACCUCGGAACUGCCUUUGAUACUGGGUGUCUUGAGUAUGAGAGAGGUGUGUGGAACUCCGAGUGUAGAGGUGAAAUUCGUAGAUAUUCGGAAGAACACCAGUGGCGAAGGCGACACACUGGCUCAUUACUGACGCUGAGGCGCGAAAGCGUGGGGAGCAAACA
rnacentral:rRNA from 1 species